CCUACGGGUGGCAGCAGUAGGGAAUCUUUCACAAUGGGCGCAAGCCUGAUGCAGCAACGCCGCGUGCAGGAUGAAGGCUUUCGGGUUGUAAACUGCUUUUAUCAGCGAGAAAUAUGAUGGUAACUCCUGAAUAAGGAUCGGCUACAUACUUGCCAGCAGCCGCGGGCAUACGUAGGAUUCGAACAUUAUCCGGGGUGAUUGGGUGUAAAGAGUUGCGUGGGUGGGAUAAUAAGUAGCUAGUGUAAUCUGGUGGCUCAACCAUUCAGACUGUUAGCGAAACUGUUUAUCUCGAGAACGGUAGAGGCAAACGGAAUUUCUAGUGUAGGGGUGAAAUCCGUAGAUAGUAGGAGGAACACCAGUGGCGAAGGCGGGCUGCUGGAAAGGAUCUGACGCUGAGGCGCGAAAGCGUAGGGAGCAAACAGGAUUAGAUACCCGAGUAGUC
rnacentral:rRNA from 1 species